rnacentral:misc_RNA from 1 species
AACAUCGCGCACCUGCGGGAACCUGCGGAAGGAUCAUUACUGAAUUGCUUGGAGAUGUUGCUGGCUUUCUUUUUGAAAGCAAUGUGCACUCUUCCAACUUUUUUACCAUUUCCUUCACACCCUUCUUGUGCACAUUUUGUAGGGUCUCCUCACAAGGGAGGCUCUAUGUUACAUUUCACACGCAUUGAAUGUACAUGUAUGUCAUAAAAAGAAAAAGAAACAACUUUUAACAAUGGAUCU